AGGAGAGGAGACUCUCUGUCUGUCAGACUUGCUCUGAAUCGAUUUGCCAUUCAUGAAUGUAACAAACCCAGGAGUCUGAAGAGAAGUGACGUCCCAGAACAAACCAGACAGCAGUCCUUACAGUGGGAGAAAUAUCUGAUCUCCUGUUACAGUCACAACAGGAAAUAAUGUUCACAGUAAUCAGCAAAAUACAGACCUUUGUCAUUCUUCAUUACUGUACAAUCUUAUGAAUACUUCACAAUAUCUACUAUAUGCAUUUCAUAGUCUCUGUUUGGUUUUUAUUUUAUUAUUAUUAUUAUUAUUAUUAUUAUUAUUAUUAUUUUGGUUUAGUUCUUGAACAGUGCACAUCAGAUACAGGGAUGUUUUCUACUGGUCCAGCCGGGCCAGUGGUUUAAAUUUUUACUUGAGUUGCCAAUAUUUUCACUGGCCCUUUCACAAAAAAAUAAAAUAGUUGCUGUUA